UUUUAAAAUGAAUAAUGAAGACGAGUUUUUAGCCAUCCAACAUAUGCUUGAGGGAGCAGUGCAAAGGUUACAACAGCAUUGUUUUGAAGAUAUGUAGUUUACAGAAAAAGACAUCAACUUUUCUUCACCCAGCAGAUACCAGUCCCCAGCAAACUUCAUUGUACUCAUUCUCAUGACUGGGAGAGUAGCAGGUUUAUCCUGCUGGUAACUGAAAAACAGGUGGGUUUCUGAAGAUUUGAAAGUCUUUAAUAAUGGGUAGUUUGCAGCACCACAGUGAUUUCAGACUACCUUGGCAUACAUGUCCUCCUGCAGGAAAACUCCUGAUGAAGAAGAUUGAUUUGUUUGUUGGGACACUUGUCCAGAU